CUCUGUUGUGGCUUGGUGUGAUCCGAGUUCGUGCCAUUGGACUGAGGGGGAUCAGAUGUCCCAUUCUCAUUACCUGAAGGGGAAUUUCUCCCUGAACAUCACUGCUGUUAAUCCCAGCAAUACUGGAUCAUACACCUGCCGGUGUGAGCAUACAUCUAUUCAGGAAGUGCUGCUUCAGAUUAUAAAUGCAAAUGAUAAAAAGGUAGAUCUCCAUGACUCUGCUGUUCUCCCCUGCUUACAUAACUGCUCUGGAUUGGCUAUGUGGAAAUUAAACAGUAAAUCCAGUGAUGUUCUUGCUGUGGAGUGUGAUCAGACUUCCUGCAGAUCAGUGAAGGAGGGAUAUCAGAUGAUCCAUAAUCAAUACCUGCAGGGGAAUCUCUCUCUGAUCAUCCCUGAUGUUGAUUUUAGUAAGAGAGGACUGUACACCUGUGAGUGUGAUGGGAUGGACCUCAAUGAUACAAAUUUAAUUGUAAAGACUGUUAAUUCUACAGUUCUGUUAAAGCCUGGUGACACUCUGCUGCUGGAGUUGGAGGUAUCGGAUUCGGUGAAGGUGUAUUUUAAUGGAACAGAGCUGUACAGUGUUGGUCAGGUCUGUCCUGUGGAAGGACACUCUCCACAUUACAGAUCUGAACACGUGCACAGAUCAGUAAUAUCCUCUGUGGAGCUGAGGAACAUCAGUAAGUCUGAUAGUGGAGUUUACAUUGUCCGGGACACCAGGAAUGAAGUGGACAUUCACGUCUACAACGUGACUGUUACAGAUGACCAGCCGAGUCCCAGCGAAGAUCAGACCGAUGUCAAAACACUAUUUGUGGUUAUAGUUUCACUUGCAGUGGUUUCUGCUUUACUUUUGAUUUUGCUUGUGGGAACCUGCAUAUGGAAGAAGAAGCCGUGUGCAAGAAAUGUGUGUAUCCCGAUGAUAGUUCAAACUAAUGAAGAUAGCAGCCAGAUAACAGAAGAAGAACCAAAAUUUCCAUCACAGCAACAAUAAGCUUUAACUCUGAGAGAUAAUUACAAUGUUUUUUUUUUUAAAUAUUGAAUAUAUAAUUUUUUUUAUCCUUUAACUGAAUUCUUUUUUUUGUUUCAAAUAUGAUCCUUUUUAUGUCCUUUAACUGAAUUCUUGUUCUUUAACUGAAUUCUAUUUUUUUUAUAUAAUCGUUUUUGCUGUUCUUUAUCUGAAUUCUUUUUUUAAAUGUAAUCCUUUUUGAUGUUCUUUAACUGAAUGUUUAUUUUUUUUAUUUAAUAAUUUUUACAGUUCUUUAACUGAAUUCUUAUUUUUUGAAUAUAAUACAUUUUGAUGUUCUUUAACUGAAUGUUUAUUUUUUUUAUUUAAUAAUUUUUACAGUUCUUUAACUGAAUUCUUAUUUUUUGAAUAUAAUACAUUUUGAUGUUCUUUAACUGAAUUUUCAUAUAUUUUUAAAUAUAAUCAGUUUUGCUGUUCUUUAACUGAAUCCUUUUUUAGUAAAAUGUAUUUUAUUUGUAGUUAAUGCUACUCUGCCAGGCCGAGCCUGACUUUUAAGCAUCAGGUCCAGCCAGCCAUAGUGUCCUGAAUCUUCGCUUCUGCUGGACUGUCUGCUCUGCUCUGUUCAGCUCAUGAUCUCAGAGUAAGGUGGUGCGCACAGUUCUAUUCAGUGAUGCUUUUAAAUAAUAAAUAAAAACAUAUUUUACA
ensembl:lncRNA